AGAUAUAUGCAAUUAAAUAUUUGAAUAUAUAAAUAAAUAAUAACAUAAAUGUAUAUUCGGUCGACACCUAAGACGUUCAAACUUCAAACACAUUCAACACAACACAAAACCUAACAACAAAAAUUCCUAACAAUUCUUCUUACAAGAUUCAUUAAGAGGGGGACACGGUAUUAGCCGGACCAGCAACCGCUCCAGUUUCUGCGCUCUACUUGACAGUCGCCCUAUGGAUAUCUUACAAUUACGAACACCACUACUCUAGUCAUCGCUCUAAGCGAUGGCCGAUAAACGAGAAGCCUCACGGUGCAUGAGCUCACUUUGCUUGUGAUUUGUUCCUGUCGUCCAUCAUACCGAUCUGCCAGAUGCAUCGCGGGUUGUCUUUACGACUCCCGGGCCACCACAUCUCGGCAGACAGACAACAGGUUCAAAAACACGAAUGCGGCUUUUUUUUUUAGCCAAACAGAUUUAUUCGAUGUCACAGUCCACCAGGCAAUGUGUCCGUCGCAAACUUCCUGUUCAUUUUUGUUUUGAACGGCAGUGACUUACAUUCACUUGCGACAUCGAAUAGUGACAAAAUGCUCAACUGUAAUUUGAACACCAAAACGUUCGACACAAAGGCAAACAAGGAAAUAACAGCUGAAAUUUCGUUCAACCAUACGUAAUGGAACAUGUGUAGAUGACUGGAUCCAGUUUUACGGGAGUUAAUUAAACUCGGGCCCAUACGGAGACUAACCUACCAAGAGCUCUUGUUAAGGGUCCCCGGGACAUAAACAAUAAGGAGAUUUCCACAAAUCGCUCGACCAAAUACGGUGGACUGACGGGACCCCCGCGUCACCCACUAAGGGUUAAUCUGCUGGAACUGAACAGCUGAUUGCAGAUUUCGGUUCGUGAAAGGUGUUGGUGUUUUUACAUGUUUAGUUCAAUGGCCAAGAUUUUAUGUUAAACUGUUUAAGCUAAUAAUAAAUACUAAAUACUA